AGACAAAUGAGAGCAACCACGAGCACAACACCAACACCACAGGGCCAAGAACAUGGCAGAGACACUCCUUCCAACCACCCGCUCUCACCCCACUGGGACAUCCAACACCUCACCCGAUUUUAAUUAGCACUUGUUUACCACACGCACAGAAGUGGAGUUUUGGUCGUUUUAUUUUCGGCUAAGUGCUUUUUGUGUCAUUUUCUUUCUUUCUUUCUUUCCCAGAGAGGGCCGUGGGGUGGAAGAAAGAGGCACGCUAAAAUUCUAUUUGGAACAAAGGGGGAAAAAGGGCUACGCGUGAAGAACCAAACGAUCUGCGAGGAGCAACACAAGUUCCUUCAGUCGUGGCAAGCGCCCCGAGGGCACCGACUCCGCCACCCUCGGCCACACUGACCGAGGGCAGAGCCCCCACAAAGCGACAGGGUCAGCCCGCGGAGCUCGGGGCCGGCACAGCCCCCACACGGCAGCGGGGCAGGCGGGCUCAGCCCGCGCAGCUGGGGUCGGCCGCUCGCCCCGCCGCCAUUUCCCCGUCCCCCUGUGGCCUCGAGGCGGCCCGGCCCUGACGGAAGGAGGGGGGAGGCCGCGCCGUGAGCGGCUCGCGGGGACUCACGCCCGGCCUGGCUUCUCCGCCCGCCGGAGGGCAGCGCACGGAGGCGGCUGGAAACGGAGAAAGAGAGGGAAGGAAGGAGCGGGCUCUCCUCAGCGCUGCCCCGCGCCCGCCAGCGCAGCGUUACCUAGAGCCACGGCCCAGCCCCGCGCCGCCAGCCAGGGCACCACAUCCCUCUGCAGGUAGAAGCGGAGAACAGAGAUAAGAUCCCAAACUGAUGCUUUUUCUAAGAGAUGAGACUGAGAAUCAAACGAUGAUGCUAUUCUUCUAAGGUAUGUCGUGCAAUAUGUGAAAGGCCUUUGAGCAGGAGGCAGGAGUUAGCCAGAGUAACUGCUGAGUGUGCCAUGGAACUUAAGCUGGUCAACACGAUAAGAGAAAAAGAGAAAUGUUCUCAUACGAUAUAAGCAGGGAUAGAGUGGGACCUCACCUCCUCUGCACUGUCCUGGGGACUUGGAAGCAUCUCUGAUGUUUGGCUCUGAACCCAAGAGAAGCGCUCUCAGAACUUAACCAGUCUUUGCAGUGAGACAAAGGAUGAACUGGUAGCUUGACAGAUGAAUAGAUUUGAGAAACAGAAAGGGAUGAAGUGAUACAUGACUGUCAGGCUUCAGAGAUACAGAAACAUAAGAAAAGCAACAAAGUAGAGCUGGGGAAGAUGGGAUACACAGGAGCUAAAGGAAUCAAAAGGAGCAAGGAGCCAGAACAGAAGAGAAGAAAGAAUCUGAAAAAAGAAGACAUAGGCUAAUAACCUGUUUAGAAAUAAAGUCACACAGUCCUCCCAGAAAUUAAGUUGGAAUUCCUGAGUUUCUCUGUUGCAAAUUAUUUGAAAACCACUAUUUUCCAGUGGCUUAUCCAUAUAAAAAGGCAUGAUAUUACUUCUGCCUGUCUUGGUUUUUGUUCCAGUGAUAGGGGUUUCCUUGUGACUCUUCAAGAUCCAACACUGCUGAUGACCCUUGGGAGUGCUUGGGAAUGUCAUUUUGAUUCCAUGAGUAAUUAGCUGUUCUUUUUGCUCUUCCUCAAAAAUACAUAAAUAAAUAAAUAAAAUAUGCAAAUGUAUAUGAAGAAAUGACAAUUUUUUGGUUCAGAGAACAGUUUCAUUUGUUAUAUCUUUUUUCAUUUCUAAAACAUAAUCCAUUCUAUUAACGAAAUAAAAAUGAAAUCUGAAGGAGCAAGAAAGGUAUGUUUGUUAUAAGAUGAAUGAUAUUUCAAAGAGAGUUAUCUGGUAUGAACAGUGCUUUUUGGCAAUUUCUUAUUUUUGAAUUUUAACUUUGUAAUUAAAUUGUACAGCAAUGGUGUACAUUAGGACUAUCUAUGUCUGCAUUCAGUUCCUGAAAACAUAUUUAGGAGAAUGCAUAUGGUUUGCCUGCCUGUUCAUGUCUUUGUCUAGCACAGAUAAUACUAGAAAUACUUAAAGUAAAUGAGCUUUGCAGUAAAUUCAGAAAGUAA